rnacentral:rRNA from 1 species
AAACUUUCAGCGGCGGAUCUCUUGGUUCUGGCAUCGAUGAAGAACGCAGCAAAAUGCGAUAAGUAAUGUGAAUUGCAGAAUUCAGUGAAUCAUCGAAUCUUUGAACGCACAUUGCGCCCGCCAGUAUUCUGGCGGGCAUGCCUGUUCGAGCGUCAUUU